ensembl:lncRNA
CUGCACCCAAGUCCUGGCGCCCGCGGGGGCGUGGGCGCGGCAGCCACCUCUCGGAAUUCACAGCCUGGAGUUGCUGUUGCCUCGGGCACCGCCCGAGGGCGGGGGUAGAGCCAGCUAAUGUCCCUGCUAGGUUUCGGAACGUGCUCGGGGGCUGCGGACAGAAAGAAUAUCCUGCACCGGCAAGGCUACCCUCCCUAAAUACUCCCCAAUCGGCCUGGGCGAUAGUCUCCUAAACAUUUUCUUUUCCUCAGUGAUUUAUAACUUAUUUAUCCAUCUUGGGUCACAAGAGAGAUUUCAAGUGCUAAAUAAGGGAGGGUUCCACAUGACCCUGAAGCAGAGAAGAGGAAUGGACUUGGAAUUUAGCCUACUUCAGAUUCUAGUUCCUGUGUCCCAGAUUGGAAGGAGCUUUGGGGCAGAAAUCAUAUUUAUUCUACCCGGAACUUAGAAUCCUCAGCACCUAAACCCAUGCCUCGAGUAGGGCCUUGUUUUUGCACUCAUCGUGGGAUCUGCCAAGAGAACGGCAACCUGUGAAACCUUGGGUAGAAAUGUUCCCAGAUGAACCAAUCAGACAGUUUGGAUGGAGGAGAUGGAGGAAAGGAG